AACAGGAUUAGAUACCCUGGUAGUCCACGCUGUAAACGAUGUCGACUUGGAGGUUGUGCCCUUGAGGCGUGGCUUCCGGAGCUAACGCGUUAAGUCGACCGCCUGGGGAGUACGGCCGCAAGUUAAAACUCAAAUGAAUUGACGGGGGCCCGCACAAGCGGUGGAGCAUGUGGUUUAAUUCGAUGCAACGCGAAGAACCUUACCUACUCUUGACAUCCAGAGAAUUUGCCAGAGAUGGCGAAGUGCCUUCGGGAACUCUGAGACAGGUGCUGCAUGGCUGUCGUCAGCUCGUGUUGUGAAAUGUUGGGUUAAGUCCCGCAACGAGCGCAACCCUUAUCCUUUGUUGCCAGCACGUAAUGGUGGGAACUCAAAGGAGACUGCCGGUGAUAAACCGGAGGAAGGUGGGGAUGACGUCAAGUCAUCAUGGCCCUUACGAGUAGGGCUACACACGUGCUACAAUGGCAUAUACAAAGAGAAGCGAACUCGCGAGAGCAAGCGGACCUCAUAAAGUAUGUCGUAGUCCGGAUUGGAGUCUGCAACUCGACUCCAUGAAGUCGGAAUCGCUAGUAAUC
rnacentral:rRNA from 1 species